UUUCUCUCCAAAAGUUUCAGAGGAGGAACGUCGCGCCAAACAGAUUAUUAGAACGUGACGCGCUAAGAGUUUUAGUAAUUGUAAGGCGAGGAGGCAGAACUAAGUGGAAGCAAGAACAUAACACCAAGUGAGAACUUCAAAUCCAGUAAAAUAAUUACACUGAUUUGGGCCGAUGCAAAUGCGAAUGCGACUGAGAGAGAACUGAAAAAUGCUAGAGUAUCACAUUCACAUUCAUUCAAAUGACUGCGCUGGCAUGUGCAUGUUUACCUCCUGCCUCCUGGCACUUCGGCAACACCAGCAACACACACACGCGUUUUUCAAGGCCUCAUGUUCAUGAAAACCGCCAUUUUCUGCCACUUUUACCAAUAUACAAAUAAUAUUUUUGUUCCCUUGCUUGUCUUAAUGGAUCGAUACAAUCGGACAGAUCUUAUUCUUAUCCAAAAUUUUACGCAAUUAUAUUUUUUUUCAAUUCGCAGAAAUGAAAAAAGUUAAUUGCACGGUACCGUCUUCUCAAUACCUACAUUUUGCUAGAUUGGAAAAUUCUUCAAUGUAGUGUAGAUUAACUUCUCCAGUUGGCUAAGCUGUAGCAUCUUGUAAACCAGCGCUAUCAAAGUUUUGUACUUUUUUCCGAAAUUUUGUUACAUGCCUUUUUUCGAUUCGUAACUUCAUUGAACUUUUUAUUUAAGUACUCUAUCAAAAUGUCAAAAUCAUUUUCAUCGUUUUGCGUGAUCUCAGUGGUCAGUAUUUAGAAUCUUUUUUAAUUUGGCAGUUCAUGGCAUUGUGCCACGCCGUAACGCAGCAGAGAACUGAAGUGGAACUACUCAAGGCGGUCUGCUCCCUGGCUCCCUCCAAGUUGCAGGUUACAGCAUUUCAGGCAUUUCUUGUAGCUACCAUCAUCUCUCACGAUGGUAUUCUCCAAUGCAGGGUUCUUGCACGCCUCCGAUAAUCGCUUUUUUGAUGAUGGCAUUGCGUACUGCAGGAAACAACAGUUUGAAAAAGCAUACCAAUGUUUCAAGAGACAUCUCUCUCAGAACAGUUUCUGUCAGGAAACAUUUCAGAUGAUAUCCUACUGUCAAUACAAAUUCAUGGAAAGUAGCGCAAGUAACGUUAAUGACCUAUCUGUUCUAUCUAAACGGUCUAAAAGCAGCCGAAGAACUUCAUCAACUUAUACAAAAGCUAUGAAGAACCUUGACUACUGUCAACCCAUCACUAAUGGGAAGUCCAGGUCUCGGAUAUUAAAAAAUGGGGAAGAGAAGGCGGUCUCGAGUAGUCAUUCUCUGAAUUUUUCAAAGAAAAAUAAAAAGCUUGAUCCUCUUUUUGUCCCUAAGGGCUCUGAAAAGCAAGCAAGUAUUUUGCUACAAAGUAGUCUGCAUUCACCAGUGCAUACUGACAGCGCUUCACAUCAAGGAGAAUCAUCGAUCAAUGGAAUUGUCUCUGAUCAAUUUAUCAAAAAUAAUGAUUCAAGAACCCUUUCUCUGGCUCAGAUUAUGAACUACCAAAUGGAGAUAGAGUUAUUCUUACGUAGUCUUGAUAGCAUGCUCUCUAAUGUAGAAGUUCUAGUCAACUCUUUGCUCGCCAAAGAGAGGAAACAAAAUUCCCGGUUAUCAAAUUUACUAAAAACUUUCCACGAAAGUGAAAUCUAUAGCUCUUACUUGGAACCACAUGUUUUCCCAAGGAACCAUGAAGAAUUGGCAUUCUGGAAUCACUCUCUUCCUCACUGUCAAAGUGUCUCACUGCAAUCAUCGUCCAGAAUUUCGAGUGAUGAUAGGUUCUAUGAUUUUGGUACUGGGUAUCAAAGUAUGUCAAUGGAAUCGGGAAAAUUUGUCUCAUAUGAAUCUGCAGCACAAGUCAUAGAUAAGGAAUGUGUCUUGCUUGAUCAUGUCUUGAAUUGUGAGCACAAUAAUGGUAAUGAACACAGUGAUGAAAGUCUUGCCAAUGCAACUUCACAAGUCAUUGAUAAUUCUUAUUCAUAUCAUCAUACUGAAAACCUUAACCAAAAUCAACUUCUUCACUCCGCGGAUUGUAAUGCUACCCGAUCGGAAAAUGUCUUGCAGCUUGAAGUGGGGCAAGUGAUUGAUGAUUUGAAGGUAUCUAAUUGUGUACAAAUAAAAUCUGAUACUUCAAUUGGCAGCUCCAAUAGCUUAUGUCAUGAAGCCUUAGUUACUCAACCGUUAUUUCAAUCAAAAUAUCUUUCGAAGAAAUCAGUAUUUUCGGAGACUGGUUUCUCUCCUCCGUGGGAGAGAAUCUCCUCCUUUACAUCUGCAAAAAAAACCGUCGUAAAGAGAAAAUUUCUUUCAAGUGAAAAUGAAGUAGAAGACAAUUGCAAGCGCAUGAGAGUGCAUAGAAAAAAUCCAAUUUAUAAAGACAGAUGUUUGCAGGACUGCCAAUGGAGGAAGAAGUUCAAGCAGCAGCAAGUUACAAGUAACUUGACUGACUCAGCAGUCGUUGAUACUCGCUCUCAGUGUAGAAUUCAACGUCUCCCCGAAAACAUUGUAAGAACCGAUGGUGCAAUUCACCUCAAGAAUCUGUAUUGCAGUUUUCGUCUCAUGAAAAAUGUUGCUGUUCAAACAGAAUCUUGCGAUCCUAGGUUGCAUUCAAUCACCACCAUCAAAGCCAACAUUAGCAGUGCAUCAAGUACUGUAAGUCUGUUCCAUUCUACUUCUCUUGUUCCAGCGCAUGCCAGUCAGAGAAGAAAGACAUUGAUAGUAACAAAUUCUGCAUGUCCAGCAAACUGCUUGAAUAUUUUUAUCAACAAAGUCCUUGCCGAAAUAAUGAGCAGUGUCUCCUCCUUUCCAAUCGAUUUCAGUCCCUUAAUUUUGAGCAUCGAUCAGGCUCCUCUUUCUGAUCAUGAUGUUAAAUUGGACCUUAUUCCUGCAUCAAGCGAACUUCUAACCUGCUCCAGUGUAUGUUUACGCCUUCACGGUCAUUAUAUUGAGUUCAAAAACUUGCGUGUGUACCAAGUAGAUCCCUUUUGGUUGCGCUACUUGGAGUGUCAUGCAUCCAAAAACAUUGAUUCAGGUCACUCGCAGUCACAAGAUCUCGUUUCGUUCAUAUACCCAGAACGCAUAAUUCUACAUUCCCUUAGCACAGAUUUAUACAAUCUCACUUUACUUGCCGGUCCUUUUAGAAUAAGAUUUGUCAAUUUUAAAAGCUAUUUGAGCUCUUGUUUUGACAAGUGACUGUCAUUAACCAUGUGGUAGUUUCCCACUCUAUUUAGUAGAAUGUUACUUUCUGAAAUGUCUCAACAAUUGAAUUGCUCUUUCUAGUCUUAUUGCUGACAGAGCCUCUAUUGUAGUCCAACUGAAAUCAGUUUCUUAUCUUUAUAUAAAUACAUACUCCAAAACAUCUCAUAUGAAUACAUUCUAUAACUUCUAAAAGAGGUGACAGGAAUAAUAACCAUAUGGUGACUGCAUGACAAUAUUGAGGUCAUGGUCGCACUAGCUUGCAAAAAUUACAUUUGGAAGGAAGGCCAGUUCGAACUCAGAAAACCAGCCAAACUUCCAACAUAUGAUGUAGGUGUAGGUAGUUUAUAUAAAUGAUAAUAUGAGUUCCUCAUUUUCUUCGCACAACUUUACAUUUCAACUUCGUGUAUGAAUAUUGGUGUUUUGCUCCAUUACAAUGAAUUGUUACAUGAAAAAUUCAUAGGAUUCAUGUUCAUUUUUGGGAAUGAAUUUUCUACUAAUGAUAAAGAAGACAGUUGCUGACAUUCUUCAAACGGAAUUUUUAAGAGACAGGAAAUCAUCGUUACCACUGUACCUAUUAAGCAUGUGGUAAUUAGAGUGAUAAAACGUAGUCUUGUAACAAGGCUGUGAUUCACCCGAUUUAGAAGUAAUUAUUUUUAACUAGUUUUUGUGAUAUGAAUUAAGUUACUUAAAUUAGAAACAUUUUUUUACAAGCUAGAGACUGCUGAAAUUUCGUACCUUUAGAAUACAAGCAAAAAUGUAUAUAGAAUUUUUGAAUUUUGAUCGAUCUAGUAUUAAAUGGGAUAAUCUUCCUUAAGCAAAUCUUUCUACUUUAUCAGUAGGUUUAAAGAUUGCUUUCCAUUCUGCUAACAGUUUUUACGGAGCAAGUUAGCCAAACGCUAAAUUACAGAAGUCUCCGUUUGUAUUUGAGGACACAUUGAUGUCAAGUUCAGGUAUUAUUCAAGGAGGCAAUUUUUCUGCUUCUACUACAUGAAAGGGCGCACACAAUUCGAACUUGUACUAAACAUUGAAUAAGUUCAUUAUCUCCAUCAUCUUCAUGAAAUAAUUCUGUCCCUCUUUUUUUUUAUACCUCCUUGAUUCUUAUCAUCAGAGACGCAUGUAAAUGCUGUUUUGUGAUAACUAGAUUACGCAACUUUAUCUGUGGUUUUAGUGUAUUUCGAUAUAUUUGUAGUCUAUUACGUAGUCUCCUCUUACUUGUAUAUGUAUAUCAAUUUUGUACGUCACUAAACAUCAGUGUUAUGCACAAGAGGUUUUUGAGCCUAAUAAUUUUUCUGAGAAUCUAUCUUAUUGAAGUUGAAACCUCUGAUUUACAAAUGGAAGUUUUAGGGCGUCAUUGUUAAACUUAGAUAGGCUCGAAAGUUACAUGAGCUUUUUGAUACCUUUAAUAUAAACUUCAUUUUGCCAAAUUCACAGCCUAAAGGCAACUUUUUCCCUGUUUUUGGAAAAUCUUAUACAUUAUUAGGAAUGUCAUUUUAUCUUUUUGACCAGAAAAUGAAAACCGUUAAAAAGUAAAGUUGAUCUGUUUUGGCAGAGGAUUAACAUACAAAUCUGUUGUCACCUUUUGUUGGAAGCUUAUAUAUUCCUUUAAAGCUAAUUUUACAAGACAAAUUCGGCAUAUUAAAUAGCCUGUUCCAGACGCUCAAACUAAGACUCAGCCUGGGGGCAUCAAUGUGGCUGUUGACUGUUGAACAUUUACAAAAACAAUAAAAACCGGCACAGUUUUCACAUUUAUGACAAAAAAGGAGGGAAAGCCGUAUGUUUCGGUGAUUCUUGUUUUCUGAGGUUUGGUUCAAAGGUCAUCAGCCCACAGACCUUUGAAGUUCAGUAGUCGACACCCACAUCGAUGCCCUCAGACUGAACCUCCAAUUUGAGCGUCUGGAAUGGGCCAUUUAGUUUGGUGUGUAGCCCGUUUCAAGAGCUUUGCUCCCAAUUUCAGUUUGUGGAAACUAUUAAGUUACAGUCUCACAACAGAUCAUUGUUUGAAAACAGAAGUACUAUCCAUCAUCAUCUAUCCAGCUUUUUUAGUCAUUAUUAUCUAUGUUGAACUUUAUUUGAGAAUAUAAAGAUUUCUACUGUGAAUCAUUGUUCAUUGUUCGUCAUAAUCUUUCUGCUAAACUUUUUAGUCUGUAAAACUCAUUGUGUAAAGCUCAUGAUGUACUGUUGUAUUUUUGGUUACCAGGAACCUCAUAGUCUUAAAAAGUCUAGGCUAAUUAUUUGUUCCUCCUAUUUUUUCUUAAUUUUUAUAAUAAGUUCAUCAGUAUUGAUAAAUCAACGGGUACUUAAUGAAUUCAUUCCACCUAGUUUUAUAAGUUACACCCUAGUUUAAACAUUCACUUUCUGUAACGUAACUUAGCAGUUGAUGAUUCUUCAGUAUGUCGGGUGGCUUCCAGUGAAACUUUUGUGAACGGUAUGCCUAGAUUAGUGUAGGUUAUUUACCAAUCUAUUUGUUUCCUCUCUAUUCCUGUUGACGUUUUUUUUCUUCUUUUAAAAUUAUAACUAUUUUUUGCGUGAAAGAAAUCUUGUUUUAUAUUUCCGCGGCUGCUCUUCUUUAUCCUCGUUUUAUAUAUUUCAUUUCAUUUUUUUUCACUUUGAUACCUGCAGUAAUUCUGCUUUCGUCUUAGCCACCGUCGAUAGGUAAUCAUGACUCCACGCUGCUGUGCCAAAGAAAACGCCCUAAGUACAAUAAUUUGGACGUUGUUACGUGUCCUCUGCUAAAUCACGAAUUUUCUGGAAAAUUUUUUGAAUUUUUCCUUUCAAUGUGUCGCACAAUCGUAUUUGAUAUUCAAUCUUUAAUAGUUGAAAAACUCUAUGAAAAAUAUUCAUAAUUAAAAAUCGAUUGUCGAAGUGUGGAACCACAUAUCUCUCUUCAUGACAAUGUAGGCUUCUUGUCAUACUUAUUUUUUCUUUGGAAAGCUAGUGAACGUAAUAUCUUGAAAAAUUCCUUGAUUUUUCCUCCCUGUUUGCCGAAUAUUUUGUACACAUUUCAAGCUGUAAAGAGAGCUUGUUUCCCUGCCAAAAAAAUGAAAUAGGAGUGGAAAUGUUAAAGCACCAGAACGGAGACACGUGGUUUCGCACUUCGGCUAUCGAAAUGCCUUUUGGGGGAAUGUGGCAUCUUUGGAAUGCUCAAACUGCGUUACGUUGUUCCGAUUUUUUUACCCAACCCCUCCUCUCUCGGCAGGUACCUGUUAUGCACCUCACUAGAUCCCUCUUGACGAUAAAGUCAGGUUGAAGUACCCCCUCCCCCCAUUUUGAAGACAAUGAAGAAGACUGAAGAAAAAUAUAAACGAUCUUCUCUGUCAAAUAACAAACGUAGAGACAUCUCAUAAAAGAGAAAAUCAGUUACAACAGUCAGCGGGCUGAUUAUUGAAAUUGAUGAUAGACAAAGAAGACAUAGGGAGUAUGGAGCGAUCCUAUUGGUUGAAACAGGUGGUUCUUUGAGGCUAAGGGGGAAAAAUGGACGAACUGAAGGGUCUCUUGUCUGUUGCCGUCCCUUUCAACCACCCACUUCCACCCUUAGGAUCGCCCCAUUUUCCCUCGGUCUUUUAUGCAUGGUGUCUAGUUUUUUAAAAACCGGGAUUCAUCAGGGAAUGAAAAUUUACCGGGAAGAUCAGUGGAGAAUCAGGGACUCUGUUCCAGAAACCGGGAAUCUCUUCUCCAACCACCUAGGAAUCAUUUCAUUUUCAAAUUUGGCGGUCUAAUCUGACGUGCGCCAAAGAAAUGACUGUAGGUGUAGGUAAGAUGAAUUGAAAUCGAUAUUCAUAUCUGAAACUCUGGAAAAUUAUAUUCUUUUCCCCCAGAAAAUCCCGGGAAAGUGGGAGAAAACUUCGGUUUCUCAUCAGGGAAUGAGCUCCUGAAAAUCAGGGAAUGAGCUCUGUCAAGAAAACUGGACCCAUGCUUUUAUGGCUAUCGCUAUCUGUCUAUCAAUUUCAACGAUCAGCCUGCAGGCACCUGUUGACUCCGGGGCCGGGCCCUGACGUCAUUUACAGAAGACUCAUAAAAUAUAUAUAGACCUAUGGAAUUACAAAAAAUUAAGAAACUCGGGAAAGUUGCAACGAUGCGAUGGGCAGCGGGCGAAUACAACGUGACGUCAAUCAGCCGGAAUCAAAUACUAAUUGCGUUUUGAAACUUUAACAAAAGAUCCCUCUUUUAUUCGCCACUUGAUCAUGACUAAUCGCGCUCGUCGGUGCGCAUACUGAUGCCACCAACCACGCCGCGGCCGGUCAAAUGGACGUAUUUCUGUCAAACGGAAGUAUGUGCAUUAAGACAUGAGCCUGAGACCCAUAAGCAUAUGUGCAAAACAGGGCUCACGUCAUAAUGCACAUAGUUCCGUUUGAUAGAAAUACGUCCAAAUGUGAGUAAAAUCAUUCACUGCCGCGGAACGAUAAAGGGAAUCCAGCACUUCUUCGUCGAUCAUUGCUAAACCGGCACUCUUGUUAAUAGAUAGGUUCGGGCCCUUUGUUCCUUCGCUCGGCAAUGACUCACGACUCAUGAAACCGCUUCCUGUUACUCAAAGCGGAAAACCCUAAGAAAAUCGGACCCAACCCUUUUUGACUCACAGCUGGAGGUGGGACUGUAUAGUGUAUAUGAGUUCAUCCAAAUAGACGAAUGGGGAGAUAGAUGCGAAGGUAGCCCUUAGCUCGGAAAUCACCUUUUACGUUGGUUCUUCAAGUAUAGCUCUUUGAAAAACGAUUCGAUAGUAAAUCGAUUAAUCGAUCAAUUGACAAUUUCUGGAUCUCUGAAUUCUUUUUUAAAAUUGCCGAAAAUACAUCACGCCGAGGUACGUCACCUACAGGGUGUCCCAAAAGUCCGACCCCCCCCCCCUCGUAACUUUUGAACGGUUAGAGAUAGAAAAA
rnacentral:lncRNA from 1 species